CUUGAUUUUCUUCCCCUUCUCUCAUAUUUCUUCUCAUCAGGUCAUAUGUAAAUUAGGUUGAAGAGUUCACCUUGGUUUCAAUAAACCACAAGAAGUUUUUUUUCUGUAAUUAAAACAUCCAUUUUAUUUUAUAAAUAGAAAUUGUUUAAUACCAAUGAUUGAAGGGUUCGAUCUUUUUCUCGUCCACCUCGAUUGUUUCCAAC